rnacentral:rRNA from 1 species
CGAUUCCCCAAUACCACGUUGGAAACACCGGUUCUCGUCUGAUCACCGAAGUUAAGUAACGUCGGGCUUGCAUGGGUGACCGGCUGGGAAUACCGGGUGUUGC